rnacentral:lncRNA from 1 species
GGGUCUGAGGAAAAGUGACAAUCUCAGGACAGAGGUGUGGCAGCAAGGACAGCCGGGGUGGGCACAGACAGAUCAGGUCUCUCUAGGGAGGCGGCCAGCUCCUGGGGCCUCUGCGUCCAGUGUGCGUCUCCGACAGGACGGGCCGUGUGGGGCCGGCACCCUGGGGCAGACAUUGGGAGGUGGCUCCCGGUCCUCCCCGCUCCUCUCUGAGUCCCACAGAGCAUGCGCAGCCCAGAGGCGAGGCGGGGAAGAGCAGCAAGGGUCUGGGGUGCUUCUCCCCAGUUCCAAAGGGAGAGGACAGGGCAGCUGCAGGAGGGAUGGACCUCUCCGAGCUUGUCACCUGGACACCUGUGUGACCCACCCGGGCCGCCGGUCAGCGACAGCCAGCGUUUGCAGCGUUUUGCGCAGGGGAGGAGCGCGCUUGGGUCCCCUCACCGGCCUCCCUGCUGGCCCGAUAGAGUAGCCAGGUGGGGUCACCUGUCCAUCGGGGAGGAGGGGAGAGGCCUGGGGUCAGGCAUCUGGACUCCCGCGGGGGGCAGGGCCUUCUCUCCUCGGGCCCUCCCCACCCCCAUCAGCCUCUGCCGCGCCCCCAGCACCCGGGAAAACAG